CAGGUGCUGCAUGGCUGUCGUCAGCUCGUGUUGUGAAAUGUUGGGUUAAGUCCCGCAACGAGCGCAACCCUUAUCCUUUGUUGCCAGCGGUCCGGCCGGGAAACUCAAAGGAGACUGCCAGUGAUAAACUGGAGGAAGGUGGGAUGACGUCAAGUCAUCAUGGCCCUUACGACCAGGGCUACACACGUGCUACAAUGGCGCAUACAAAGAGAAGCGACCUCGCGAGAGCAAGCGGACCUCAUAAAGUGCGUCGUAGUCCGGAUUGGAGUCUGCAACCUCGACUCCAUGAAGUCGGAAUCGCUAGUAAUCGUGGAUCAGAAUGCCACGGUGAAUACGUUCCCGGGCCUU
rnacentral:rRNA from 1 species